GGAGCCAGCAGACUACUGGUGUGUGUAAUCCAGAGCGCCUGGGCAUUAAGGCUGGUCAGUCAGGCUUGUGCACACAAUUGGUAGCAUGUCAAAUGGUGCGAUAAGUUCUUUUUUCAAGCAAUUUCUUAGAACUGAGACUACAUGGUACUUUUUUUUUCUAAGCAAUGUCAUUCACACUCAUUGGCCUAUGGUGCAUUUGAUUACUGGCCACUGAGCAGCUCACCUGCUGUAACUGGGAAAUAAGAGUCUUGCUCAAGGAUGCAUUCAUAAGUAUCUACCUCGGAGAUGGAACAGUUUUUUUUUAGCAGGUCUGGGAUUUUAAACAGUAACUCAUCACAAACUAAGAACUACUUAAAGGGGAAUGAAACACCAGCUAUACUGAAAGUAUAGUUCAGUUUUUUUUUUUUUUUUUAAAAAACUAAUAAAAAACAUUAAUAUCGGGUCUUAAUUAAAUUAAAAACAGUCCAAAAUAGAAUUUUAAUCAUGUUGGCUACAUAGAAAUUCAUACAGCAGAGGAACGUUGCUUUGAUUCAUUGCUUUGAUUCUUCUGGGACGACUGUGGCUCAGGGGGUUGGGAAUCACAUCUGUAACCGGAAGGUCGCUGGUUCGAUCCCUGGGCUCUCUGUCCUGGUUGUUGUGUCCUUGGGCAAGACACUUUACCCUACUUGCCUACUGGUGUUGGCCAGAGGGGCUGAUGGCGCGAUAUGGCAGCCUCGCUUCUGUCAGUCUGCCCCAGGGCAGCUGUGGCUACAACCGUAGCUGCCUCCACCAGUGUAUGAAUGUGAGAGUGAAUGAAUAGUGGUAUUGUAAAGCGCUUUGGGUGCCUUGAAAAGUGCUGUAUAAAUCCAAUCUAUUAUUAUUAUUCUGUUUCACCUCUUCUCGUGUAUUCCUUGCGCCUAUAUACCUGCACCUAGCUACUCUGGGUCAGGAGGGCCUGGGGUGGCACUCCCAACAAUACCAAUAACCAGCUGGUUCUCAAUCCUUCAUCUUCCAACCUAUUAAAAAAAUUUUAAGAAAAAAAAAAACACCUCUGUACUACAGCAAAUACCAGCUGGAUCCCUCCUUGUGUAAUGUAUGGUAACACACUUAAAAUUGAGUUCAUGUUAUAAUGGGAUUGAUUUGAUCUGACCUUUCUUUUGGGGAACUAAAAUGCAUCACAAUGGUCCUGCAUUUUGGUUAUCACAUCAUGACUGAUAAAAAAGCAAGGAAACAACAAGCAGAAAUGAUACUUCUGGGAAGUAAAAAGCUGAUUCAUUCAUUGUUUUAUCUCCACAUUAUCCACAUGUCCGUCACCAUCUGUGUAACGCUUCUCUGGCAUCAGUAUGGGUGCUUUUCAUCAGCUGUGUUUAGUCACAGACCAAGGAGCAGUCGUUUAAAACUAACAGAUGAACCGAGAGUUCAGGGACGCUUCUAUGAGACGAUGAUAAAAGAUAUUUCAAAAUGAAUAUUCGCAGUUGUUGAGUGUAUUGCCCAAAGGUUAGUCAACAAGGAAGUGUUGUUAACAAGAGUCUGUGGGACUUGGGUUGAGGUCAGGGACAAGCUUGACUCAUCUCAGCUGCCGCGUGAGGAAGGAAGGCCACAGUGUGUUUGUUAACUAGAAUUGUACUUCCUAAUCUGCUUUUUUCCAGUAGUUGGAUACAGUCUGUGCACAUCUAUACAAACAGAUGUUAACAGCAGUUAUGCUUCUUUCAGUAAAAUUCAGAAUAACUUUGCCUUCUCUCAGCUGGGGUGUAUUCCAGGGGUAAAUGCGCCUUGAACUUUGCCCUUUAGCACUUUUUGUUACUGGUACUUUACUGAAAAUCUGAGCUUAUUUUAC
ensembl:lncRNA